rnacentral:rRNA from 1 species
AGCGAACGCUGGCGGCGUGCUUAACACAUGCAAGUCGAACGUGAAAUGUAGCAAUACAGAGUAAAGUGGCGUACGGGUGAGUAACACGUGGGUAAUCUACCAAAGAGCCUGGAAUAACCGACCGAAAGGUUGGCUAAUACUGGAUAGUUCAAAUGAAAUAUAAUGUUUCGAUUGGGAAAGGGAGCGAGCAAUCGCCUUCACUUUUUGAUGAGCCCGCGUCUGAUUAGCUAGUUGGUAGGGUAAUGGCCUACCAAGGCGACGAUCAGUAGCUGGUCGGAGAGGAUGAUCAGCCACACUGGAACUGAAACACGGUCCAGACUCCUACGGGAGGCAGCAGUGGGGAAUCUUGCGCAAUGGACGAAAGUCUGACGCAGCCACGCCGAGUGAGUGAGGAAGGCCUUCGGGUUGUAAAGCUUUGUCGGAAGGGACAAAAACGUUUAAGGUUAAUAGCCUUAGAUCUUGAUGGUACCUUCAAAGGAAGCACCGGCUAACUUCGUGCCAGCAGCCGCCGUAA